GUCUUUUUGUUAAUAAUUUAAAGUCAAAUCUGCCCACUGAUUUAUAAUUAAAGGGCUGCAGUAUAUUGACUGUACAAAGGUAGCAUAGUAAAUAGUCUUUUAAUUGAAGACUUGUAUGAAUGAUUUGAUGAAAUAUAAACUGUCUCUUUUUUAUAAUUUGAAUUUAAUUUUUUAGUAAAAAAGCUAAAAUUUGAUUAAAAGACGAGAAGACCCUAUAGAGUUUUAUAAUUAAUUUAUUUAUAAAUUUAUUUAUAAUUUUAAAAAUAAUUAAGUUAAUUAUUUUAUUGGGGUGAUAGAAAAAUUAAAUUAACUUUUUUUAAAAAUAAACAUUAAUUAAUGAAUAUAUGAUCCAUAUUUUAUGAUUAUAAGAAAAAAUUACCUUAGGGAUAACAGCGUAAUUUUUUUUUUUAGUUCUUAUAGGAAAAAAAGUUUGCGACCUCGAUGUUGGAUUAAGAUAAAAUUUAAAU
rnacentral:rRNA from 1 species